AGUAUUAGGAUGAAAUACAGAAGGGAGGACCCUCAAUUUUAUUUUAUUUUUUCUUUCUUCCUUUUUUUCUUUUUAAUCUCAGGUACUUCUGGUGACAUUGUGUUGAAUCAGUCUCCCUCCUCUCUGUCUGGGGCUCCUGGAGAGAAAAUCACCAUCACCUGCACAGCCAAAGUGUCAAGCACCCUGGUGGGAAAACCUAACUGAGCUGGUUCCAACAGAAAAGUGGACGAGUUAAGCAACUCAUUUACCAAGUUUCCAACUUACAGACUGGAGUCCCAUCGCGGUUCAGUGGCAGUGGGUCUGACAGAGAUUUCAGCCUCACCAUCAGCAGCCUGGAGGGUGAAGAUGCCUCUGUCUAUUACUGUGGGCAAGGUUCCUAUAGUCCGAGGACGUUCGGCAAAGGGACAACGUUGGAAGUCAAAC